GCUAGGAGUGGUGGUGCAUGUCUGUAAUCCCAGUGACUUGGGAGGCUGAGCCAGGAGGAUUGCAUAUUCCAGACCAGCCUGACCAGUUUAGUGAGACCCUGUCUCAA
rnacentral:sRNA from 1 species